rnacentral:rRNA from 1 species
AGUGAACGCUGGCGGUAGGCCUAACACAUGCAAGUCGAACGGCAGCACAUUAAUAGCUUGCUCUUUCGGGUGGCGAGUGGCGGACGGGUGAGGAAUACAUCGGAAUCUACUUUUUCGUGGGUGAUAACGUAGGGAAACUUACUCUAAUACCUCAUACGACCUACGGGUGAAAGCAGUGGAUCUUCGGACCUUGCUCUAUUGUAUGAGCCGAUGUCGGAUUAGCUAGUUGGCGUGGUAAAGGCCCACCAAGGCGACGAUCCGUAGCUGGUCUGAGAGGAUGAUGAGCCACACUGGAACUGAGACACGGUCCAGACUCCUACGGGAGGGAGAAGUGGGGAAGAUUGGACAAUGGGCGCAAGCGUGAUCCAGACAUACCGCGUGGGUGAAGAAGGCCUUCGGGUUGUAAAGCCCUAUUGUUGGGAAAGAAAAGCAGCAGGUUAAUAUGCCGCUGUUGUGACGGUACCCAAAGAAUAAGCACCGGCUAACUACGUG